GAAUAGUUAAUGUGAUAUAAUUAGCUCACCACUGGAGCUUCCUCAACCCCCUGUCCCCGUCCUCCCCUACACCCCUCCCUUUAAGCUGGUGUGUAUGUGUAAAUGUGUGUGUGUGUGUGCGGGCGCGUGCGUGCCUGUGCUUAUACGUGUGUCUGAUUGAAGGGGGAUGGUCGCUUUGUCACCAGCUGACAGGACAGUGACAGCGUUUCAUACAGAUUUCACACUGCAGUCGUACCAACAGGACUGGACAUUCACUGCUCACUAUCCUCCUCAAACACACUGCACACUGACGGAGGAGAUUGGGAGGGGAAGGAAUUUGCCAUCUGAUUGCAAAGCUGGCAGAGCAUGUUGCAGCAGGUGGGACGGAGCUUGUUGUUCAGGUGAAUACAGUGCCUUCAGAAAAUAUUCACAACUCUUGACUUUUUUUCACAUUUUGUUGUGUUACAGCCUGAAUUUAAAAUGGAUUAAAUUGAGAUUGUGUGUCACUGGCCUAGACAUAAUAUCCCAUAAUGUCAAAGUGGAAUUAUGUUUUUAGAUAUGAUCACAAAUUAAUUAAAAAUGAAAAGAUUAAAUGUCUUGAGUCAAUAAAUAUUCAACACCUUUUUUAGGGCAAGCCUAAAUAAGUUCAGGAGUAAGAAUUUGCUGAAGUCACAUAAUAAGUUGCAUGGACUCACUCUGUAAGCAAUAAUAGUGUUUAACAUGAUUUUGGAAUGACUACCUCAUCUCUGCACCCCACACAUACAAUUAUCUGUAAUUUCAAACACAGAUUCAACCACAAAGACCAGGGAGGUUUUCCAAUGCCUCGCACAAAGAAGGACACUUAUUAGUAGAUGGAUCAAAAAUGUAAAAAGCAGACAUUGAAUAUCCCUUUGAGCAUGGCUAAGUUAUUCAUUACACUUUGGAUGGUGUAUCAAUACACCCAGUCACUAAAAGAUACAGGCGUCCUUCCUAACUCAAUUGCCGGAGAGGAAGAAUCCACCCAGGGAUUUAACCAUGAGGCCAAUGGUGACUUUAAAACAGUUACAGAGUUUAAUGGCUGUGAUAGGAGAAUACUGAGGAUGGAUCAACAACAUUGUAGUUACUCCACAAUACUAACCUAAAUGACAGAGUGAAAAGAAGGAAGCCUGAACAGAAAAUAAAUAUUCCAAAACACGCAUGCUGUUGGCAAUAAGGCACUAAAGUAAAACUGGCAAAAAUGUGUCAAUUUUGUUUAAUUUUAUAUCCUGAAUAACAAAGCAUUAUGUUUGGGCCAAAUCCAACACAACACAUCAAUGAGUUCAUUCUUCAUAUUUUCAAGCAUGGUGGUGGCUGCAUCAUGUUAUGGGUAUGCUUGUCAUCAGCAAGGACUAAGGUGUUUUUUAGGAUAAAAAUAAACGCAAUAGAGCUAAUCACAGACAAAAUCCUAGAGAAAACCUGGUUCAGUCUGCUUUCCAACAGACACUGGGAGACAAAUUCACCUUUCCGCAGGACAAAAACCUAAAACACAAGGCAAAAUAUACACUGUAGUUGCUUACCAAGACAACAUUGAACGUUCCUGAGUGGCCUAGUUACAGUUUUGAUUUAAAUCGUCUUGAAACUCUAUGGCAAGACUUGAAAAUGGCUGUUUAGCAAUGAUCAACAACCAACUUGACAGAGCUUGAAUAAUUUUAAAAUAAUAAUGUGCAAAUAUUGUAUAAUACAGGUGUGCAAAGCUCUUAGACUUACCCAUGAAGACUCACAGCUGUAAUCGCUGCCAAAGGUGAUUCAACAUGUAUUGACUCAGGGGUGUGAAUACUUAUAAAUGAGAUACAGUGGCAAGAAAAAGUUUGUGAACCCUUUGGAAUUACCUGCAUUUCUGCAUAAAUUGGUCAUAACAUUUUUUAUCUGAUCUUCAUCUAAGUCACAACAAUAGACAAACACAGUC
rnacentral:lncRNA from 8 species